rnacentral:rRNA from 1 species
AUACGGAGGGUGCAAACGUUAAUCGGAAUUACUGGGCGUAAAGCGCGCGUAGGCGGUUUGGUCAGUCGGAUGUGAAAGCCCUGGGCUCAACCUGGGAAUGGCAUUCGAUACUGCCUGACUAGAGUAUGGUAGAGGGAAGUGGAAUUUCCGGUGUAGCGGUGAAAUGCGUAGAUAUCGGAAGGAACACCAGUGGCGAAGGCGACUUCCUGGGCCAAUACUGACGCUGAGGUGCGAAAGCGUGGGGAGCAAACAGGAUUAGAUACCCCGGUAGUCC